rnacentral:misc_RNA from 1 species
CUGAGUUCGGGGGCAAUCCCAGUCCCGACCUCCAACCCUUUGUGAACAUAUCUUGUUGCUUCGGGGGCGACCCUGCCGUUCGCGGCAUUCCCCCCGGAGGUCAUCAAAACACUGCAUUAUUACGUCGGAGUAAAAAGUUAAUUUAAUA